AUAAUUAUACAAAUGUAUACUUCAAAAUGUAAAAAAGAGAACAUAUGGCACAUAUUCCUAAAUUUUUUAAUUUUAUAAUUAUUUUUCUUUUCAUAUUUUUGGUUGUAACGGAUGGUAUCGUCGUAACAAUUUUCAAAUGCCAAUCUAAUAAAGAAUGUCUUAUAGAAAUGACUACUUGCAUUCGUCCCAGAAAGCCAAAGUGUAUAGGAGGGAAGUGUAGAUGUUUGUAAUAUUGAGAAUAAGGUUAAGAUAUAUAAAGCACUGUUAAUUGACAAAAGAUAAACAUAUAGAAAACCACGAUUAACAUGAAGCAGCAAGAGAUCGCUUUCUAUGAUAGAGAGAUCCCAGAAUAAUCUCAGCCAAAACUCUAUAGGAAGGCUUCAAAGAAGUAGUUUGAUGAGGUACAGAUCUAGAAGAAGAUAAUUCUCUAUCAACUUUCUCCCAAUCAACUCUACCACGAAGAGCACCUGUGAUUCCAUCUGAGUCAUCAAGACUAUACAGCUUCCUUAUCAUCUUCUCAUUCACAAAAACUUCAUGCCCUAAUACGAAGGAGAUGAUAGCAGUUGGAGUAACUGUUGCAUGAGUUCAGAAAUCCAUAACCAAGAGAGGAUAAACUGGUCCAACCAAUCUUUCAGAGUAAUUUGACCAACCUUGUACCAGCAUUGCAGCCUUGGUUUUGAAAUCAUGUUCCAACAGAUUUUCAAAAUCUACCAUAGUUUCGCAUAGAACUUUCAGUUCCUCAUUUGGAAUAGAACAAGUCUUCAAGGGAUGAUAUCCAUAUUUGUGUUGAACAAGAUGUGCUAAAGACAUUUUGUGUUGAGUACUUGAGGAUGAAAGCAUGAAUUCACUCGGAGAUUCAGUUUAGAAACUAGGGUUUAUGCAAGAACGAGAAAGAGAGAGAUGAAUGAAGAGAGAGAAUGUAAAGAGAUGAAUUGUUAUGAAGAUGAGUUUAUAUAGAGACGAAUUUGAAA